AUGUUCGUGAGGAGGAGCCUGAUUGAAGUGUCAUCCUACUUGUACAUCCCCGACGACAUCCAUCUCAUUAAGUGUGACAUCACUGUUAUCAAGUUGAAGGAAGCACAGAUGCGGAAGAUCGGCAUGAGCUUUAAUAUCCAGGUGCCGCCUUCAGACUUGUUGCACAAUCUUAGGAGUUUGAUGGAUGCGUGGGAGGAAUUGGAUGUGUCUUUCAAGUUCAAAGAUGAGUUUUUCACUGCCCAUAAGACCGUCCUCGCAAUGCGGUCGCUGGUAUUCAAGGAGGAGCUCUACGGGCCGAUGAGGGAUAAGUGCGGGCAGGGCCAGAGCAUAUCCAUUGAAGACAUAGAGCCGGCUGUUUUCAAAGCGCUGCUCCACUUCAUCUACACGGAUGAGAUCCUCCCAUGGAAACCUCCAUGA
rnacentral:rRNA from 1 species